rnacentral:rRNA from 1 species
UACGAAGGGGGCGAGCGUUGUUCGGAUUUACUGGGCGUAAAGGGCGCGCAGGCGGCUCAUUUUGUCAGGCGUGAAAGCCCCGGGCUUAACCUGGGAACUGCGUUUGAUACGGAUGGGCUAGAGUUCGGGAGAGGAGAGUGGAAUUCCCAGUGUAGAGGUGAAAUUCGUAGAUAUUGGGAAGAACACCGGUGGCGAAGGCGGCUCUCUGGACCGAGACUGACGCUGAGACGCGAAAGCGUGGGGAGCGAACAGG